rnacentral:rRNA from 1 species
GACGAACGCUGGCGGCGUGCUUAACACAUGCAAGUCGAACGAACAGGCCAGGCUCUUGUGGGGUGCUCGUGUGGCGAACGGGUGAGUAACACGCGAGUAUCACCCCCUUGUCUUUGGGGGAUAUUCUGGAAACUCCGUCUCUUAUCCCGUAGGAUCUUUUGCUGCAUGUGGUUGAAUGGAAAGUUUCGGCGGUUGUGGAUGGACUCGAGGGUUAUCCGCUGGUUGGUGGGGUAGUGGCUUACCAGGCCUACGACGGGUAGCCGGCCUGAGAGGGUGACCGGGCACAAUGGGACUGAGAUACGGCGCAGACUGCUACGUGAGGCAGCAGGGGGGAAUAUUGCACAGUAGGGGGAAGCCUGAUGCAGCGGUGCCGCGUGCGGGAUGACGGCCUACGGGUUGUAAACAGCUGUCGCCGGUGACGAAGCGUGAGUGACGGUAAUGAGUAAAGAAGCACCGGCUAACUACGUG